GCCAAUGUGGUAUAGUGGUUUGAACAUUUGACUACAUCUCUGGAGAACAGGGUUCAAAUCCCCACAUUGGGU
rnacentral:tRNA from 1 species